GAUGAGGUGGCCAAGUGGUGAAAGCAAUGGAUUGCUAAUUCAUUGCACUCUGAGCGCGUGGGUUCAAAUCCCACCUUCAUCA